rnacentral:rRNA from 1 species
CAGGCCUAACACAUGCAAGUCGAACGGUGAACACGGAGCUUGCUCUGUGGGAUCAGUGGCGAACGGGUGAGUAACACGUGAGCAACCUGCCCCUGACUCUGGGAUAAGCGCUGGAAACGGCGUCUAAUACUGGAUACGAACAAGAAUCGCAUGGUUACUUGUUGGAAAGAUUUUUCGGUUGGGGAUGGGCUCGCGGCCUAUCAGCUUGUUGGUGAGGUAAUGGCUCACCAAGGCGUCGACGGGUAGCCGGCCUGAGAGGGUGACCGGCCACACUGGGACUGAGACACGGCCCAGACUCCUACGGGAGGCAGCAGUGGGGAAUAUUGCACAAUGGGCGAAAGCCUGAUGCAGCAACGCCGCGUGAGGGAUGACGGCCUUCGGGUUGUAAACCUCUUUUAGCAGGGAAGAAGCGAAAGUGACGGUACCUGCAGAAACAGCGCCGGCG